rnacentral:rRNA from 1 species
AUACGUAGGGUGCAAGCGUUAAUCGGAAUUACUGGGCGUAAAGCGUGCGCAGGCGGUUUUGUAAGACAGUGGUGAAAUCCCCGGGCUCAAACUGGGAACUGCCAUUGUGAAUGCAAGGCUGGAGUGCGGCAGAGGGGGACGGAAUUCCGCGUGUAGCAGUGAAAUGCGUAGAUAUGCGGAGGAACACCGAUGGCGAAGGCAAUCCCCUGGGCCUGCACUGACGCUCAUGCACGAAAGCGUGGGGAGCAAACAGGAUUAGAUACCCUGGUAGUCCACGCCCUAAACGAUGUCAACUGGUUGUUGGGUCUUCAUUGACUCAGUAACGAAGCUAACGCGUGAAGUUGACCGCCUGGGGAGUACGGCCGCAAGGUUGAAACUCAAAUGAAUUGGCGGGG